ACUAGGCCCUGGGCUCAGAGUGUGUGGAGGUGGGAGGUGAGUGCCAAGUGGGAACUGAGGGGAGCCUGGAAACCACCAAAAACUGGAGCUGGCAGCUCCGGGGGUGGAGAGAGAAGGGAGGAAGGGGGGGUUGGCUGGCUCUGGUGGUGAGCAGAGUGUGCAGGCCCCUUAGUGGGGUUGAGCCUGUGCCACGUGCUGUGUGGCCUUGGGCAAGUGCCUUAACCUCUCUGGGCUUCAGCCCCCUGGUCUGCAAAUUAGACCUCCCUUCCUGUCCUAACCUCUAGCCCCAUCCAGCCCCAAGUGUGUAGCCCACAGCCCCUCCCAGGGCCCUGUCUAUGCAGGCCACUCUCUAAGUGCUUGACGCAUAUUAACUCGUUUUGUUGUGCCAGUUAUUUAUCUCAGAUGGGGAAACUGAGGCUGAGGAUAGGAUGUGCCUUGUCCAGAGCCAAUGGCUUGCUUGUAGCACCUGAAAACCCGCUAUGGGCUAAGUCAGGAGCUGCCAACUCCAUGUCUCCAGGGAGAACCAGCCCACCACUUCCUGGGAACCUCCGCAGGCGUCCUGCUAAUGGGGGCGUUUCCAUGCCUGCCUCUCUCACCAUCUUCGCCACCUCAGCUCAUCUUCUCCGUCUUUACCGAUGUUCAGGACAGAGGCCUGGGAGUCGUUCUUGACUCAUCUCAACCCUACCCUGCAGCCAACCACUUGGAGAAGCCAGCCAACCCUUCUGCAAAAUCCUUCUAGAAUACAACCCCUCCUCUGCCCCUGCCUGGUCCACCCCCAUCAUCCCUGGCCUGGAUCUGUGCCGUCCCCUCUGCUCUGGUCCCCCAGCGUCUGCACUCAUCCCCCACAGUCUGUCCUUUCUGCAACAGCCAGGGGUCGCCUGUGAACACGUCGGUCAGGGCUGGUUCCUCCUUUGCCCAUAGCCCUCCCUGGCUCCCACCUCCCUCAGAGUAAACGCCCAAGUCCUCCUGGUGCCCCACAAGGGCCUGCACAACCUGCUCUGUCCUCUCCCUGCUCUCCCCUCCCCUCCUCCCCCUCCUCACUCUGCUCCAGCCACACAGGCCUCCUCGCUGUUCCUCCAACAUGCCAGGUGCGGUCCUGCCUCAGGGCCUUUGC
rnacentral:lncRNA from 10 species